rnacentral:sRNA from 1 species
GAUACUAGGGUCAAAAGGUCAUAACACACAUGAGCUUGCUCAGAUGUGGGUUAAUGACCUUAUGACCCGCCAAAAUAUGAGCAUAAAAGUGGGACGUAAGUGCCACGAUAUGCGAAUAUUUUGUAGGAUUGUGGGAGUACGAAGUACGGAACAAUCCGCAGGUAUC